GCAUUGUUGGUUCAGUGGUAGAAUUCUCGCCUGCCACGCGGGUGACCCGGGUUCGAUUCCCUAACAAUGCA
rnacentral:tRNA from 1 species